rnacentral:rRNA from 1 species
GACUACCAGGGUAUCUAAGCCUGUUUGCUACCCACGCUUUCGUGCCUCAGCGUCAGUUACAGUCCAGUAAGUCGCCUUCGCCACUGGUGUUCCUCCUAAUAUCUACGCAUUUCACCGCUACACUAGGAAUUCCACUUACCUCUCCUGCACUCAAGUUGUACAGUUUCAAGUGCUAACCAUGGUUAAGCCAUAGCCUUUUACACCUGACAUAUACAACCGCCUACUCACCCUUUACGCCCAGUAAAUCCGGACAACGCUCGCCCCCUACGUAUUACCGCGGCUGCUGGCACGUAGUUAGCCGGGGCUUCCUCCUUGGCUACCGUCAUUAUCUUCACCAAGGACAGAGUUUUACGAUCCGAAGACCUUCUUCACUCACGCGGCGUCGCUGCAUCAGAGUUCCCUCCAUUGUGCAAUAUUCCCCACUGCAGCCACCCGUAGG